CAUAAAGCUCACGCAGUAUCCUUUAUAAGCAGUUUGUAGGUCUCCUUCCUUGAAUUUCUUUCAAGCUCCCAAUAGCCAACGGGAAGCCGAACACACUUUCACACUAAAAAUGGGAAUUCAGGGAAGUAUCAUCAGGUUCUGAACUAUGUUUUAAGACUCAAGUCAAACACCAAAACUGAGUCACCACCUAAUGUGUGUGCAGCACGUGUUAGGGGCAGUUUGCUAUGUGAUGACUUGAACGACAGUUUCUCUCUCCUGGGACUUUCAUAAAAUUCCUUUGGUGUUGCCACACACUUCUGGGAUUCUCCACAAUGAGCCCAUUGCUGAGCCUGUCUCUGCAGAUGUUUAUUAAACAAGCAGAAUUUAGGGGAAUAGUCAGCAAGUCUUCACCAAGUUCUUCUAUGUGGGCAGCUUUUGUGGUGUGGCCAGGGUAUGAGGAUAAAGAGCAACUUGGAAAAGUCUGGGGAGAAUUUAAGUAGCCUGAAGAGUCUCUGUCCCUCAGGGAGGAAAGCUGAGAAAUCGUUUCCAUAUUUAUGUGUCAAUUGCUUUAUGUCCAUUUAUUUGAUCUUCCUUACAAAAUCUUGCAUAGAAAAUUUCAUCCUCAUUUUACAGAUGAGGAAACUGAAGCUUAGAGAGCUUAGGUCACUUACCCAAGUUCAUCCAGGUAGCAAAGUGUCAGGUCUGGAUUUAAAUCAGGUUGAGUCCAGUACCUUUUUCUUUUUUAUAUCACGCUGCCUUUCCCUAGAAGCCAAAAUUUCUAGGAAAUAAAUGAACUGCAAUGACAAAGCAGCACAUUUUCCCAUGUUCUUUGCUCUUGAUCCCUACCUACUCUUUUCCCGGAAAUAGACAAUAAAGCCACCAGGAUACCUGAGACAGCCUUGGUCAUCUUUGUACCGUAGCCAGCACCAUGGAUUUUUGCCUAGUUACUUUCCCAUCAGAUUUUAACAGAAAGAACACUGUAUUUGCCAGCUCAGUACAGCAUAUCUCUGGCUCUGUUUUCUCCCCAGCAGGAAUCCGAGGGUCUGUCUCUGUAUGUGUUAUCAUCAGACUGGUAAAGAGUUACAUGUGUCAGCACAGAAGAAAAGAGCUUUGAUGUGAGUUCAGCAUGUAAGAAAGCCUUCAUUGCUGUCAUGCUUUCAACAGGUUCCCCACGACCCACCACUGCCUGCCAAGAUGAAUGUAAAUGAAGCAGAAGUCUCACAGGCUGGGCACAGUAGGAAGAAGCAUUCUCAUCAUGGCCACUUAGCUUGCUCGAGAUUACACAGAACCAUGCCUCUGGUUUCCUGGUACAGUGCUCCGGCAGGUGACGGAUGCUCCUGGGUGACAUAUCACGGAUCUCUCUGAGGUGAGAUCUUCAUGAUUCUAUAUCAUAGGCAUCUCUUUAUCUUCAAGUUGGGCAACAUCAGCAGGGUUCCCAUGAGUAUGUGCCCAGCGAGGCUAUUUAGUUCCUCUUAUCUUUUUUUUUUUCUACUUGCCCUCGUUUUUCCUGAGAUUUUAUUUCCUUCCUAGCUGGCAUACCUUUCCCUGCUGUGGUAUUCAGACCUAAAUAGUGUGUGCACCUAUUACCUCUGCAGAGUAAUUACUGUUUGGUACCAUGGUAGAGUUUCUGUGUCCAGAUACGGUUGUGAAUGCUUGGAAUGUAACAUUGGGAAAGACAGAACUAUUGCUUGUAAGUGGAUUUGUGGACAUCAUGGUGCUAUGAGAAAACUAAGUUGAAGAUGCUCCUGCAUCUUGCUGGUUAAACUAGAUAUAAACCAGUUGCUUAAUAAUUCAUAGCCUAUCCUAUCUGUUUCCCACCCUCCUUAUCUUCCAGGGACUCAUUUAUUGAAUAACUC
rnacentral:lncRNA from 1 species